AUUGAGUGAUAGACGUAAAAAUAAUCAAUAUUAGACAAUGUAGAGGGGAAAAUUCCUAACCAUUGUGGAUGCCCUAACAUUGCUGAUAUUAUGGUCGAAGGUCAACAGGCUUGGAAAUUUGGAAUGCACAACUGCUUGGAAGUGAACUGUGUCCCGAGGAUAAAGUGUAAUUGUACAAAUACUGAACAUGAAAUUAAGCAACUUGUCUGUUAGUGAAGGCGCUUUGAAAAAGCAGGAAAGCUCUCAGUUAGAACUUAGAAGUGGCUACAACUCCACAAGCCCACAAGGUGAUUAUUGUCUUAUUGAUAUAGAUGUGUUUUAACUAUUUUUAAAUGUUCAAAGGGAGAAGAAAAGAGGCUGCUGCCAAUACAUUCAGAGUAUGUUGAAUAGGAAAAUAAAAAGAUUCAACAAUGCAGCUGCGUGUAGAGACAACAUUGAACAAAGCACAGAAUCAUGCAAAAUCACUAGCACGACAACAUUGAACAAAACACAAAAUCAUGCUAAAAUGUCGUGCAAAAUCAGUCAGGCUGCACCCCACAAAGGCUUAUCAGUGGUGAAGAUGCAAGGGGCACGGGGAAAAAUGCAGAUAGACUGAAGUGGUGUAUAGGAACAGGGGGGGACUGAGUGAGUAGAAAACAGAACUACUAUGCAGUGCCAUAAAAAUAUAAAAACCAAGCAGAAAUAAUAAUUGAGUUGGGGGCAGAUGAUGAAAAUGCCUAAUGAAAGCAAAGAUGCAGUGUGGAGUUGAGGGUCCACUUCCAUGUAAAAUACACGAUUUGAGCACUCAAAAGGACAAUCAUGCUUAACUUAACAGUUGAUCAUGGAUACAAUGAUGAGAGAGUAGAAGUCAACUCACAAUGAGGGUAGCUGAUCUUUAUCACUUGCACAAUACGGCAUCGGAUACCCAGCAUUCAGCAACUUUAGCAUGCAUUCUACAUUUUCAAUCAAUCAUGAUUACCAAUGAUAUCCAAAUAAAUUUCCUCACAUACAUGACAUGAGCCCACACUUCUCAUCUUCUAUAAUCAAGCAUUCAACAUCCAGGAUGCUCAUAGUUAAGAUGAAGACAAUGCAGCAGCUUCUCCAUCUGCUGUUCAUAUGGCUUCUAUUGGCAGCAAUCCCACGCCUUUACAGCCCUAUUUCAACUGCUAAAGCCAUAUAUACAGGCAAGCUACAUGUGCACUACAGUAUACCUCCACAUACCACAAUCAACAUUUUCUUGAGAGUGAGGGUUGGGAGGGUUUACUGCUUGUUCACUUGUUCGGUAUUCGUAUUUCUAAAAGUUCACUUUCUGAUAUUCUAUUGCAGUUAGUUCCCAGAGUAGCACCUUAAGCAACAACAUUAGGACAACAGACGUAAAUGUUCUUCCUACUUUGGGCAAAGAGAUGAUUCAUAAGAAACAAUCUGGACCAAACCCAAUUGGAAAUCAACAGCCACCAAGAAGGCCUUGAAUACACUAGCUUAUUUAAGAAUUUUAUUUUUAUUAGACAUGUCUUAGUUGGAAAAAUGUUAUGUUGGGUUCUGUAUCUGUAAAAUAUUACUCCGUAAUCACUAAAAACAUCAUAGUCAUGCUCAA